rnacentral:rRNA from 1 species
UGGGGAAUAUUGCACAAUGGGCGCAAGCCUGAUGCAGCAACGCCGCGUGAGGGACGACGGCCUUCGGGUUGUAAACCUCUUUUAGUAGGGAAGAAGCGAAAAGUGACGGUACCUGCAGAAAAAGCAACCGGCUAACUACGUGCCAGCAGCCGCGGUAAUACGUAGGGUGCGAGCGUUGUCCGGAAUUAUUGGGCGUAAAGAGCUCGUAGGCGGUCUGUCGCGUCUGCUGUGAAAACCCGAGGCUCAACCUCGGGCCUGCAGUGGGUACGGGCAGACUAGAGUGCGGUAGGGGAGAAUGGAAUUCCUGGUGUAGCGGUGGAAUGCGCAGAUAUCAGGAGGAACACCGAUGGCGAAGGCAGUUCUCUGGGCCGUAACUGACGCUGAGGAGCGAAAGCGUGGGGAGCGAACAGGAUUAGAUACCCUGGUAGUCCACGCCGUAAACGUUGGGCGCUAGAUGUGGGGACCAUUCCACGGUUUCCGUGUCGCAGCUAACGCAUUAAGCGCCCCGCCUGGGGAGUACGGCCGCAAGGCUAAAACU